rnacentral:rRNA from 1 species
CAGUCGCCGCGGGAAUACGAAGGGUGCAAGCGUUACUCGGAAUUACUGGGCGUAAAGCGCGCGUAGGUGGUUCAUUAAGUUGGAUGUGAAAGCCCUGGGCUCAACCUGGGAACUGCAUCCAAAACUGGUGAGCUAGAGUACGGUAGAGGGUAGUGGAAUUUCCUGUGUAGCGGUGAAAUGCGUAGAUAUAGGAAGGAACACCAGUGGCGAAGGCGACUACCUGGACUGAUACUGACACUGAGGUGCGAAAGCGUGGGGAGCAAACAGGAUUAGAUACCCCCGUAGUCCCUGUCUCUUAUAC